rnacentral:rRNA from 1 species
UACGGGGGGGGCAAGCGUUGUUCGGAAUUACUGGGCGUAAAGGGCUCGUAGGCGGCCAACUAAGUCAGACGUGAAAUCCCUCGGCUUAACCGGGGAACUGCGUCUGAUACUGGAUGGCUUGAGUUCGGGAGAGGGAUGCGGAAUUCCAGGUGUAGCGGUGAAAUGCGUAGAUAUCUGGAGGAGCACCGGUGGCGAAGGCGGCAUCCUGGACCGACACUGACGCUGAGGAGCGAAAGCCAGGGGAGCAAACAGG